GACGGAAGGCGCAAGCGUUGCUCGGAAUCACUGGGCGUAAAGGGUGCGUAGGCGGCUUGGUAGGUCUGGUGUGAAAGCCCCGGGCUCAGCCCGGGAAGGGCACUAGAAACUGCCAAGCUAGAGUGCCGGAGGGGAGAGUGGAAUUCCUGGUGUAGCGGUGAAAUGCGUAGAGAUCAGGAGGAAUACCGGUGGCGAAAGCGACUCUCUGGACGGCAACUGACGCUGAGGCACGAAAGCGUGGGGAGCAAACAGG
rnacentral:rRNA from 1 species